rnacentral:rRNA from 1 species
AAUCAACGCUGGCGGCGUGCCUCAGACAUGCAAGUCGAACGAUUAAGACUCUCUUCGGAGAGUGUAUAAAGUGGCGCACGGGUGAGUAACACGUAGGUAAUGUGCCUUUGGGUGGGGAAUAACUUAGGGAAACUUAAGCUAAUACCGCAUAAUGCAGCGGCUCGACAUCGAGACAGUUGUUAAAGAUUUAUCGCCUAAAGAGCAGCCUGCGGCAGAUUAGCUAGUUGGUAAGGUAAUGGCUUACCAAGGCGACGAUCUGUAUCCGACCUGAGAGGGUGGUCGGACACACUGACACUGAAUAACGGGUCAGACUACUACGGGAGGCAGCAGUCGGGAAUUUUGGGCAAUGGGCGAAAGCCUGACCCAGCAACGCCGCGUGAAGGAUGAAGUAUUUCGGUAUGUAAACUUCGUAAGAAUAGGAAGAAUAAAUGACGGUACUAUUUGUAAGGUCCGGCUAACUACGUGCCAGCCGCCGCAGUAAAAC